rnacentral:rRNA from 1 species
CCGUACACAAAAAUACACAUAUUGUGAGCUCGAUGAGUAGGGCGGGACACGUGGUAUCCUGUCUGAAUAUGGGGGGACCAUCCUCCAAGGCUAAAUACUCCUGACUGACCGAUAGUGAACCAGUACCGUGAGGGAAAGGCGAAAAGAACCCCGGCGAGGGGAGUGAAAAAGAACCUGAAACCGUGUACGUACAAGCAGUGGGAGCACGCUUAGGCGUGUGACUGCGUACCUUUUGUAUAAUGGGUCAGCGACUUAUAUUCUGUAGCAAGGUUAACCGAAUAGGGGAGCCGAAGGGAAACCGAGUCUUAACUGGGCGUUAAGUUGCAGGGUAUAGACCCGAAACCCGGUGAUCUAGCCAUGGGCAGGUUGAAGGUUGGGUAACACUAACUGGAGGACCGAACCGACUAAUGUUGAAAAAUUAGCGGAUGACUUGUGGCUGGGGGUGAAAGGCCAAUCAAACCGGGAGAUAGCUGGUUCUCCCCGAAAGCUAUUUAGGUAGCGCCUCGUGAAUUCAUCUCCGGGGGUAGAGCACUGUUUCGGCAAGGGGGUCAUCCCGACUUACCAACCCGAUGCAAACUGCGAAUACCGGAGAAUGUUAUCACGGGAGACACACGGCGGGUGCUAACGUCCGUCGUGAAGAGGGAAACAACCCAGACCGCCAGCUAAGGUCCCAAAGUCAUGGUUAAGUGGGAAACGAUGUGGGAAGGCCCAGACAGCCAGGAUGUUGGCUUAGAAGCAGCCAUCAUUUAAAGAAAGCGUAAUAGCUCACUGGUCGAGUCGGCCUGCGCGGAAGAUGUAACGGGGCUAAACCAUGCACCGAAGCU